UACGACUACAUCAGAUCGAUACACCACUUUCCGUACCAUCACCCAAGUUAAGCAACGUUGAGUCUGGUUAGUACUUAGUUGGGUGACUUCUUGGAAAUACCAGGUACUGUAAG